GACGAACGCUGGCGGCGUGCUUAACACAUGCAAGUCGAACGGAAAGGCCCUGCUUUUGUGGGGUGCUCGAGUGGCGAACGGGUGAGUAACACGUGAGUAACCUGCCCUUGACUUUGGGAUAACUUCAGGAAACUGGGGCUAAUACCGGAUAGGAGCUCCUGCUGCAUGGUGGGGGUUGGAAAGUUUCGGCGGUUGGGGAUGGACUCGCGGGUUAUCAGCUUGUUGGUGGGGUAGUGGCUUACCAAGGCUUUGACGGGUAGCCGGCCUGAGAGGGUGACCGGCCACAUUGGGACUGGGAUACGGCCCAGACUCCUACGGGAGGCAGCAGGGGGGAAUAUUGCACAAUGGGCGGAAGCCUGAUGCAGCAACGCCGCGUGCGGGAUGGCGGCCUUCGGGUUGUAAACCGCUUUCGCCUGUGACGAAGCGUGAGUGACGGUAAUGGGUAAAGAAGCACCGGCUAACUACGUG
rnacentral:rRNA from 1 species